CCUCCUUACGGGGAGGAGCAGCAGUGGGGAAUAUUGCACAAUGGGCGCAAGCCUGAUGCAGCGACGCCGCGUGGGGGAUGACGGCCUUCGGGUUGUAAACUCCUUUCAGCCAUGACGAAGCCUUUGUGGUGACGGUAGUGGUAGAAGAAGCACCGGCUAACUACGUGCCAGCAGCCGCGGUAAUACGUAGGGUGCGAGCGUUGUCCGGAAUUACUGGGCGUAAAGAGCUCGUAGGUGGUCUGUCGCGUCAUUUGUGAAAGCCCGGGGCUUAACUCCGGGUUGGCAGGUGAUACGGGCAUGACUGGAGUACUGUAGGGGAGACUGGAAUUCCUGGUGUAGCGGUGAAAUGCGCAGAUAUCAGGAGGAACACCGGUGGCGAAGGCGGGUCUCUGGGCAGUAACUGACGCUGAGGAGCGAAAGCAUGGGUAGCGAACAGGAUUAGAUACCCUGGUAGUCCAUGCCGUAAACGGUGGGCGCUAGGUGUGGGUUUCCUUCCACGGGAUCCGUGCCGUAGCUAACGCAUUAAGCGCCCCGCCUGGGAGUUCCCCAA
rnacentral:rRNA from 1 species